rnacentral:rRNA from 1 species
UACGAAGGGGGCUAGCGUUGCUCGGAAUCACUGGGCGUAAAGCGCACGUAGGCGGCUUACUAAGUCAGGGGUGAAAUCCUGGAGCUCAACUCCAGAACUGCCUUUGAUACUGGCGAUCUCGAGUCCGGGAGAGGUGAGUGGAACUGCGAGUGUAGAGGUGAAAUUCGUAGAUAUUCGCAAGAACACCAGUGGCGAAGGCGGCUCACUGGCCCGGUACUGACGCUGAGGUGCGAAAGCGUGGGGAG